rnacentral:tRNA from 1 species
GGCCGUGUGGUCUAGUAGUAUGAUACUCGCUUUGGGCUUGAACACAGUGAAUAACUGUGCUUAAAUUAUCUGAUUGCGAGUGGUCCAGGGUUCAAUUCCCUGCUCGGCCC